rnacentral:rRNA from 1 species
CAGGACGAACGCUGGCGGCGUGCUUAACACAUGCAAGUCGAACGGUAAGGCCCUUCGGGGUACACGAGUGGCGAACGGUGAGUAACACGUGGGUGAUCUGCCCUGCACUUCGGGAUAAGCCUGGGAAACUGGGUCUAAUACCGGAUAGGACCAUGGACUUCACGGUUUGUGGUGGAAAGCUUUUGCGGUGUGGGAUGGGCCCGCGGCCUAUCAGCUUGUUGGUGGGGUAAUGGCCUACCAAGGCGACGACGGGUAGCCGGCCUGAGAGGGUGUCCGGCCACACUGGGACUGAGAUACGGCCCAGACUCCUACGGGAGGCAGCAGUGGGGAAUAUUGCACAAUGGGCGCAAGCCUGAUGCAGCGACGCCGCGUGAGGGAUGACGGCCUUCGGGUUGUAAACCACUUUCAAUAGGGACGAAGCGCAAGUGACGGUACCUAUAGAAGAAGCACCGGCCAACUACGUG